GAUUGUGGAUAGUAAGAUAAACAACAUCUAUUAACAAUAUACCUUAUUUUCAGCCACACAGCCCUGAUUUACCACCAUCUUCACGUUUCUUAAUGGAAAAAAUGAGCUGGUUUUUUUUGGCCUUAUAUCCAUAAUAAACCAAAAGAUUAAUAGUGUUGGGGAGUUAAUUAUAUAGAGUCAUUCGGUUUUUUUUUUUUUUGUAUUUUUACCAAAAAAAAAAACUAAACGGUUUGUAAUUCUCACAGUUCACUUUGAACAUGUGAAAGAUAAUCUGCAAGUUUUUAGGAGUUGAAAUGUUUUUUUUAUAUUCUUUUUUAUAAAUCAAAUGUCAAUGCCAUGUGUCAGAUUUUAAUUAGUUAGGUUACUUAUGAUUUAGUAUAUAAGGGAUAAAACGUGGUUAUUGUUGUGUUUGUGCGAUGUUCACCACGUAAGUUCAAAGUUCAAACUCGCAUAUUGCAUCAUGUUGAUAAAAAUAAAUAAAUAUUUG
rnacentral:lncRNA from 1 species